CUAAAAUAGUGUUUAUCUUGUUCCUUCAAAAGGAGCACCUACAAGUCUCCUAAAGUAUAAAGCUGCGUAAUAGCAUACUUUGCGGGCAUUAUAUACAUGAGAUGGCACGCAUCGGGAUUUUAUUUGAUAAGGCAUGCAUGUGACGUUAUCCUUCUAAAAUAAUGCAUGGAGGGACCGGACAAUGAGUCAAAAGAGAUGCUUUAAAAACGUCAGCUUGUAUUUUUCUUUUUUUUUUUUAAAAGCCUUUGAGGCAAAGCUGGUCGUAGUUUAUGUUAUCAAUAUUUCUUCAGAGUAGAGGCCCCACACGUGCGAACAAAUACGUUGGAAUAACUGUGGACCUCGUAGAGAUCCAGUGAGUUGUCAACGGUAGGCAAAACCUGAGCUCUCCAAGUCUCCCAACUCCUCGAGCCCACCACCCCGUCCAUUAAUACUCUCAAAUGUCCCUGAUUCGAGGAAAGAGAAAAAGCUCGCAGUGGGCCACGUGGAUCGCAGUUUUGAAGCGUGAGGCGACGUGUCCGGCUCCCGUUCCUAGCUUUCUCUGUCGGCACACGGAAGAAUAAAAUUGCCGGCUUUCGUAUAGUAUAUAAUUGUUGGUGGGAUGGGGACGGAGCGACGGAAUUUACGAGCCGCUUUCCGUGCGUGGGAGAAAAGCCUUUCCCUUCGUUUCCCCCCUCUUCUCUCCUCUUCUUUGAUUAAGAAAGUACUUUUUUGGUAUACUGUACUAGUGUUAUGCAGGUGGCAUAUAAAAUUAUAGAUAUGAGCUUGCUUUCAUUUUCUUGUUGUUAGAAAGUAGGUCUUUAUUUUUCCUCCUCUUUGAAAGAAGAUAUUAUCAUGUGGACAACCUGACAACAGGAUAAAUUGGGCCCCUUAGCCCUCCUCUUCUACUCCAAAGAAAAUGAAGAAGAAGAAGAAGAAAAAAAAAAAAUAUAUUUUUAAAUAUGUUAACUAAUCGGUGAGAAAG
rnacentral:lncRNA from 1 species